ACCGGCGCACGGGUGAGUAACGCGUAUGCAACCUACCCAUAACUGGGGGAUAGCUUCCGGAAAGGGAAAGUAAUACCCCAUAGUAUUAUAAUACCGCAUGGUAUAAUAAUUAAAGUUCCGACGGUUAUGGAUGGGCCUGCGUGCCAUUAGUUUCUUGGAGAGGUAACGGCUCACCAAGGCUAUUAUGGCUAGGGGGUCUUAAAGGAUGGUCCCCCACACUGGUACUGAGACACGGACCAGACUCCUACGGGAGGCAGCAGUGAGGAAUAUUGGUCAAUGGGCGCAAGCCUGAACCAGCCAUGCCGCUUGCAGGAAGACGGCCCCUAUGGGUUGUAAACUGCUUUUAUAUAGGAAGAAAAUGUUCUAGGUGUAGAGCACUGACGGUACUAUAAGAAUAAGCAUCGGCUAACUCCGUGCCAGCAGCCCCGGUAAUACGGAGGAUGCAAGCGUUAUCCGGAUUUAUUAGGUUUAAAGGGUGUGUAGGCGGAAUUUUAAGUCAGUGGUGAAAUCUCACAGCUCAACUGUGAAACUGCCAUUGAUACUGGAAUUCUUGAGUAUAGUAGGGGAAAGCGGAAUUCCUGGUGUAGCGGUGAAAUGCGUAGAUAUCAGGAGGAACACCAGUGGCGAAGGUGGCUUUCUGGUCCGAAAUUGACGCUGAGGUACUAAAGCGUGGGUAGCAAACAGGAUUAGAUACCCUGGUAGUCCACGCCCUAAACGAUGGAUACUUGGUGUCGGGAUGUUCGAUCGUCUCGGUGCCGUAGCUAACGUGUUAAGUAUCCCGCCUGGGGACUACGGUCGCAAGACUGAAACUCAAAGGAAUUGACGGGGGCCCGCACCAGAGGUGGAACAUGUGGUUUAAUUCGAUGCAACGCGAAGAAUCUUACCUGCGCUUGACAUAUGUAUGAAGCAUGUAAGAAAUUAUGUGUUCUAUUUACUUUUGUAGAUAGCAUAUAUACAGGUGAUGCAUGGCUGUCGUCAGCUCGUGUCGUGAGAUGUAGGGUUAAGUCCCUUAACGAGCGCAACCCUUACUUUUAGUUGCCAUCAGGUAAUGCUGGGGACUCUAGAAGGACUGCCGAGGUUAACUCGGAGGAAGGUGGGGAUGACGUCAAGUCAGUAUGUCCCUUAUGUCCAGGGCUACACACGUGUUACAAUGGCCGGUACAGAGUGUUGCUAAGUCGUGAGACCAUGCCAAUCACUUAAAGCCGGUCCCAGUUCGGAUAGGAGUCUGCAAUUCGACUCCUUGAAGUUGGAAUCGCUAGUAAUCGCAGAACAGCAUGCUGCGGUGAAUACGUUCCCGGGCCUUGUACACACCGCCCGUCACGCCAUGGAAGUUGG
rnacentral:rRNA from 1 species